rnacentral:rRNA from 1 species
CCCAGACGGGGCGCAGCAGUCGCGAAACCUUUGCAAUACACCCGAGUGUGACAGGGUCAUCCCGAGUGCCGACCGCUGAGGUUGGCUUUUACCCAGUCUAGAAAGCUGGGGGAAUAAGGAGAGGGCAAGUCUGGUGUCAGCCGCCGCGGUAAUACCAGCUCUCCGAGUGGUGUGGACGUUUAUUGGGCCAAAAGCAUCCGUAGCUGGCUGAACAAGUCCCCUGUUAAACCCACCGAUUAUAAUCGUUGGCGUGCGGGGGAUACUGCUCGGCUAGGGGACGGAGAGGCAAGCGGUAUUCCCGGGGUAGGGGUGAAAUCCUGUAAUCCA